rnacentral:rRNA from 1 species
UACGAAGGGGGCUAGCGUUGCUCGGAAUCACUGGGCGUAAAGGGUGCGUAGGCGGGUCUUUAAGUCAGGGGUGAAAUCCUGGAGCUCAACCCCAGAACUGCCUUUGAUACUGAGGAUCUUGAGUUCGGGAGAGGUGAGUGGAACUGCGAGUGUAGAGGUGAAACUCGUAGAUAUUCGCAAGAACACCAGUGGCGAAGGCGGCUCACUGGCCCGAUACUGACGCUGAGGCACGAAAGCGUGGGGAGCAAACAGG